rnacentral:misc_RNA from 1 species
AAGUCGUAACAAGGUUUCCGUAGGUGAACCUGCGGAAGGAUCAUUACCGAAUUGUCAACAAGAGUUGUUGCUGGUCCUCAAACGGGGGCAUGUGCACGCUCUGUUAACACAUCCACUCACACCCUGUGCACCCUCUGUAGUUCUGUGGUUGGGGGAACCUGUCCUCCUGCUGUGGUUCUGCAUCUUUACACACACACUGUAACAAAGUCUCAUGGAAUGCAUCUGCGUUUAACGCAAUACAAUACAACUUUCAGCAACGGAUCUCUUGGCUCUC